rnacentral:tRNA from 1 species
GGCUGGUUAGCUCAGCUGGUUAGAGCGUGGUGCUAAUAACGCCAAGGUCGCGGGUUCGAUCUUCGUACUGGAUA